ensembl:lncRNA
GUCAGACCGGGAGGCUGUCUCUGUCAGACCGGGAGGCUGUCUCUGUCAGACCGGGAGGCUGUCUCUGUCAGACCGGGAGGCUGUCUCUGUCAGACCGGGAGGCUGUCUCUGUCUGACCGGGAGGCUGUCUCUGUCUGACCGGGAGGCUGUCUCUGUCAGACCGGGAGGCUGUCUCUGUCAGACCGGGAGGCUGUCUCUGUCAGACCGGGAGGCUGUCUCUGUCAGACCGGGAGGCUGUCUCUGUCAGACCGGGAGGCUGUCUCUGUCAGACCGGGAGGCUGUCUCUGUCAGACCGGGAGGCUGUCUCUGUCAGAUCGGGAGGAUGUCUCAAUUCAAAGAUUGUGACAGCUUCUGGAGGGCUGCGCCUGGGUCAUUUACUGGUGCUGUGCACUGAGGUGGAAGAAAAACACACAUGGGGAGGUGCUACUAUUGUCCAAUGCUAUUUCACUAUAAUGUCCUUUCUAUCUUCUAUAUAUCUAUGGCCUCUGUUACACUGUGGUAGAAGAUGAAAAUAAAAACACCUGCCUAAAGACAAGUCCAACUCUCCACAGAGAACUAGGUGUGUUAACUCUGACGCUGUCCUUUUUUUUGGUCAUUGGCGGUAAUUUCAGUGGAUAUCAUCUGACCGGUUUCCAAUUCCACCAAGUAGAGCUGUAUAUUAAGUAUGAAAUGCAAGAUAAAUAGUUGAUUGUGUGUUAUGGGUAAUGACAUCUUCAGAUGUAGCAACAUUAAUUGUCAAGACUGGAGGAAAUCAAUUUCUUGUAUAUAAUGAACAUCCACCAUGUACGCCUACAUGACCUUGUCUUUAAGAAAUUUAAAUAACAUUCAAUUAGCUGUGGGUGACUGUUUUAACAUAGGCUACCAAAGUAACUAGGGUAUUGUGUGAUAUGUAGUAAAUUAGGGUUCAUCUGAUUUCCCAAAGGUGACAGGUUCAAUAAUGUCACGUGUUAUUUACAGCAGUCAGCGCUGGCUGGGUGGAACCUGAGGGAAUAAUAGUUUGUUUGAAUUACAGGUUUGCUUUAUUUACAGGGACCUGUAAAAUGGCUUCCCACAAUGAACAAGUGUUAGAGAAGCCUGGAUGAAACACCUGCAUCAAAGCAGCUCUUUUGGAGUUCCCUGUAGGAGCUGGUAUAAGUGGCUGGUAUGAAUACAUACGACAGGCAUUUUGAUGGGGAUGUGGAGCACGGCAUCAUAGGUCUAGCUAGUCUUUUGUUGUCUUGCACGUAUACGCUGCUGCUGCCUGUGAAAUGCUUGGUUUUCCUGUUGAUUUAGAAGACGGAUAAAACAAGGCAGCGUUAUUUAAAGGGGGAUUUCACCCGUUUUUACAUUUGGGCUUAUUUUCACUCUUUCUGUGCUUUGUGUUAAUAACCAAAACAUUUUAUAUAUUCUUUGUUCUAUAGAAUGGAUAUCACAUUUACUGACAUCUUUUACAACUAAAAUGUACAAUGAGCUUGUGUCAAUGUUGUCGAACAAUCCAGAGCACUUGAAUUCACUCCAAAACCAGGUUGUGUAUGACAAAGGGAUACAAAUUUGAGUUGGUUUGGAGUACGUAAAUAAUUUUGUUACCAGCUUAAAAAAUUUGAUGUUUUAUAAUGCGUUGUAGUCAACCGUAAGUGACGACAAGGCAAAAUGUGGCAACCAAUUGUAAGUAAAAAAAAAAAAGAAUGUUUUGGGAAGAAACAUCUAUACAAGCGCUGAAAGAGUAUUAACAAAUGUAAAACUAGGUAAACUCCACCCUUAUCUUAUGGAGCUGUGACCUCAAGCUAGCAUGAGUUGAGGACAAUUUGCACUACAUACACACACAAAUACAUACACUGACUUUCUACCAGCCGUUUCCUGCCAGUGCAGGUGUAAGUGUAAUGGAUUCUGAGGCCAUGUUGCUGUGAUAAACCAGGGCUGAAGUGUUGUCAUAAAAGUAUAAAAGAGAAGCUAAGUUUAUCUGAGCAGUCUUUCCAAUGCCCCUGUCUUCUGUUAUGUUCCAGAGCUGCCCAGAGCUGACCUUUACUUCCCUUCGCUGGAUUACCCAGCUAGCUACAGUAACGCAAAUGUCCGGCAGGUGCAGUCCAAAGGCUUUCAAACCUGGUCACGCUUUUGUAUCUGCCCCUCCUCAUCCCCUGUGCUCCUGCAACAGUGGAAUCCUCACUCCAUGAUUGACUAGCAGCAGGUGGGAUGGGUGAAGCUGGGCUGAGCAGAGACAUGUGAACGGGCACAUUACUUUCUGACUACUGUGUGUGUGGAUUCAAGCAGUGAGGAGAGGAUUUACUGGUCACACACACACACAGCAGGACUUUAUGGUAAAGGAUUUCAUAGAAAAAUGAUCUGAUGUACAGUACCAUUCAAAAGUUAGAACUUGUGACUGGUACUGUAUUUCUCAUUAAGGACAUGUUUGUUUUCAAAAGAGAAUUUAAAUCACAUGUUGCUUGUUGUAUGGACAGUCAUGGGAAUAUGGCUGCUGAAUUAACUCUUUAAAGAAGCUCACGAGAAGCAGACAUUGAAGCAGCCAGCAGGGCUUCCAGCAACUUCCCAGUGUUUCCAUGCUGCUGGCACUUUUCGGGCAGGUUAUGUCUGGUCCCUCCCACUCUGUGCGUUGGGUUGGACAGUACUGUUGUGUUCUCGGAUUUAAGGAGUAAGGGGCGGUGUCUAUGACUGCGUUCAGGAAUGUUAUUUCAUUGUGAAACGUGAAGUAAAGGAUGUUGUUUUUCUUGGCAACCUUGAGUUUGUGCCUUGGGAUGGUGAGUCUGGGUGUGUAGAAACACAGCUAAUGGAAUGUAGGCUUCUUAAUCCCAUCUUAGAUAAAAUGAACACGUUUAACUCCCUGUUUGGCCCCCAUGGAUAUACAAGGCUGGUAAUUUAUGCCCUAGAUGGAGAUUUGGUUGGACAUUUUGAUGACCCAGGAAGGCGUGACUUUUCUUAUAUUCACAGAUGUUCUUUAUAAACAGUUUUUUGAUACAUGUACUUUUUUGCCUAUACUGUUCUUUUUUCUGCUUUUCCAAACAUGUAUUUCUCUGUGUUUGAGGGCUUGUACAUAAAAUGCAUUCAUGUGAGAUUUAAGAAUAACAGUCAUAAUGAUAACGGUUGACUACAACAUGUUUGGGAAAUCAGGGAAGUGUUUUUUUUUUUUUUUAUAUAUUGAAGCGGUGAGGUAACCCAUUUCAUUCAGAGACUGGGCGCAACUAGAAGUCUGCAGGCACAGUACCUGUGUUCUCUCAUUGGUGGACCUCUUUCGAAUGAUGGCACUACAUCAUCCUGUGACCUCCAAUCAAAUUAAAGUUGCUUGCGGCCACCAUCCAUUUGCUGGCCCCUUGUUCAGAACAAGCAGGAGGCAGCUUUUUGAACAGACGACUUAUGUUGCCUGAAAUUGAUACCUCAGCCCCUUCAGCUUGCACUUCCUCACAAGGAGCAUUUACAAGUGAAAGGAGCUGGGUCAACUGUUUUAUUAAGUGCCCAAAUUCUAGUUGUCUUCCCGUAAAAGGCCAAACGCAGCCUCUGGAAAUGGAUCAUCUCACUGUCCCGUCAUUCAUCUACAAUGACCAUAUUAACCUCAACAAAAAUCGAUGACUGUCGCACUGGAUUUUUACACUUUUCCAAUAGGCCUCUGUACUCUUAUCUAGGAUCGUCUAUAACUGUAUUUUGUAAUACUGCACGUGCAUGCAACGCUUUAGAGGAAUAACUUUACAAAUGUGUGUGUCAUUGUGUCGUGGUUGCCCACGUAGGAAGCAGAGGGCCUUCAGGAGGGCGGAGAGACCUCCAAACACUAGCGGCAGGGUUAGCGAUCUGUGGCCUCUGGCCUGGUUGUCCUCCUGCCCUGCCGUUCCCUGGUCCGUUCCAGUUGUAGCUCUUUCCCUACGGGAAUUUACGCUGAACCCUCAGUCACGUUUCAGAGGUGGUCCUGCCAUUCUGUGGGCAUCCCUCCAUCCAAUAUGUUUCCCUCAGGAUGUGUCCUCUUCUCUCCACCCCCCUCCUCCUCUGUCUCCUCCCCUGUCUCCUCCUCUGUCUCCGCCCCUGUCUCCACCUCUGUCUCCACCUCUGUCUCCUCCCCUGUCAUAAUGUGUGCACUGGGUUGGUUAGUCCUCGGUUAGAGCAUCUUGGCCAAGGCAACCAGGACCGGGCUUGAAGCCAGCCAGGGUGUUCUUCUGGUGCCGUCUAUCUCUCGCUGUCUCUCUGGCACCGUAAUAACUACGGCAGUGUGUGUACAUAGCCGAUCGUCUUUUAUAGUUCACGGCCAAGUGACUCCAAUAAUACAAAUAUGGAUACAGUAGAAAAUGCAGAGUUGAUGCCAAUGGAAUUGGUUAAUCUACGCUGGAAUGUGUGAAAUUGGCCAUUACUCUGCUCCAAGGCUUCUCUAGGAGGACAAAACCACCUGAGCCAACACAGACAAAGGCAUUUUCCUGCUCUCCACUCACAAUAGGCCCAAUGUGUGUUUUGUAAAACUUUUUAAAAUGUUGUAUGUAAAAAUGUUGUAUGGAGAAUAGGAAUAUGUGUCCGGUUAGAAGCAAUGCAUCUUGGGACAUAGUGAAAGGUUCUACAUUGCAGUUACUCGGUUGCAACUUUUAAAAAAUGUAUUCUUUGUCUUCAGUUGCCAACCUGAACACAUAUGGCCAUAUAAGAAAACAUAAGCUGUGUGGACCAGACCUGGGUCAGGUAUAUUAUUUCGACGUGCCUGAGCAUCAGGCUAUGGCUGGAAAUAUGGAGGGAAACCUAUUUGACCCAGGUCUGUGUGUGAACUCAGGAUGUGUCCUUAAUAAUUCUGAACAGGGGUUGCUGGUGCGCUCUGAAUCUGACGCUCUGGAAACAGACCCUAGCCGCUGCUCGGCCUCAGAAUCUCCACCACCAGAGCGGGUGAAUGAUAUCCAACCGCGUACAGUGUGGUAGAAUUGUAAUGUAGGCUACGAAAGGUCCGUUUUAAGGUGGUCUGUCAGGCACAUGAAUAGGGAGGUGAUGACCUCAUUUUAGUUCUGUCAGGAUAUGGAAAUAUGUCACUCUGUGGGGUCAACGUCUCACAAUGUCAGCCAUACAGGGCUCUGACGUCGUUCCGACCUCCAACCGACCUCUCAUUGACUACGUCGUUAUGGCACCACACGCUGCAUAUCAUCCAUGCCAUAUCAGAUAGCUUACACUGUGUGUUUUACGGAGAGGCAACGCUGCGAAUUCCAGUCAUGCCGUCAGCUAGCCAGAGAAUAGGCUCCACAGAACAGACUCUGGGUGCUCUGCCUUUCCCGGGCGGAGGCGAUUCUAGGCGCACUGUACCCAGUUUUCAUUUCCCACAUCCCCACCUACUCCUGAGCCAGGCCAAAGCCAACGAGCCCAUCACGAUGAAGACGAGCAGUCGGAACCCCGAUCCCUCGUUUAUCCACGGAACACAGCAGAGGCCGCGAGGCGGACGGGGGUCACACGUCUUUCAAACCUGCGGAUUGGGCCGGCUGUGGCGGAUGCAUUCAACAUCCAGCUUAUCGAGUCAUGGACUUUAGGAUGCGUGCACCUCGGCGCAGCGUGGCAGCGUCGCAGCGUCGCAGCAGCUUGUGUGUUUCUCCGCAGCUACGGGUCCUUCCUAGUAUCUGGCUCCUUUACGUCCUGGGGACACGUCCGCUGGCGCCUAAGGAGAGAAGCUGCUGGUUGCGCAUGUCUGAGGCUCUCCAACAGGGAGACCGCAGAGCGACAACAGGUUGGGGGGAGCGGCGUGGAGGUGCACGGGGGAGGUGCAAGAGUAGUGUACUGGUUAGGUUUCACUGUCGGGGAGAGAACAACGCUAAGAGAGGUCUGGCAGUGUAGUGUGUGUUUGUGUGCUUUUACACAUGCUGCGCAAUGUAUACACCCCCCCCCCCCCCCCCAAUGCACACACACACAACACAUACAACACAUACACAGACCCCUUCUUUUUCAAAAGAUUGAGUUAGGCACAGUACAGGUCUGCAUAAAUGGGCCAUCUGGUUGUGUAAUGGUAGAUAAGAAGCAUUGUGGUCCAUAAAAUCAAUAGCUUCCCCACAACAGGACCACAGUUCUGACUGUUUAAUGGUGGGAGACAGACAGAGAGACAGACAGGCAGACGGGGGAGGCAGGAUGACAGGCAGGGGGUGACAUCGGAUCUUAUUUUUUCACUCACUGUUUAUUUUUGAUCAGAAACAGCAAUAGUGUUUGUGUGUCCCCUGAUCGUUCAUGAUCUCCAUCAAAACCAUUUUCUCAAAUACAGAUCUCCGUCAAUCUCAUCAUGCCUUAUCAUGCUGACUCCAUUAGUGUCUUGUUCACAAACAUGAACGUUUGAGUGUUGUUAGAAUUUUCAGGCUCUGAACAUUUAGUAAACCGUCAAACACGGUUGAAUGUUGAAUGAACAUUAUGACUGCACACUGGGUUUGAGAGACCAUAAGCUACAGAGAUUGAUUUUAUUAUGCAACACACUGGGUGACACACACAUCACAUGGCUGUAGGUAAGAUAAUAGCAUAUACAGAGUGGGGCAAUUGACAGCGCACAAGUCGCUGUUUUUAUUAUUAUAACUGGGAUUUUAUAUAUUAUUGCAAUACAAUACACAGAAAGCACUUACCGUACAUGUGUUUAGGUGAUGUACAGUAUGUCUAAGAAAUGGUAUCCUACUGCACCAAUGAUGUUUGUAUAUCACUAUUGUCCAAUAGCUUAACAUAAGUAUAACGUUGAUAACCUUCCCUCUUUGGGAAGAUCUACUCAUGCUGACUGUUAACUCUUCUUGUACUGCAGUAUGUUUAUACUCUGUGUGUAAAUAUAAUCUGCCAUUGUUAUUAUUGUGAUUGUCACCAUAUUGUCGUCCAUUGAGCUUUUGCUCUCGCCAUUCCUUGGUGUUCCUAUCUAGGGUUAUGUUCAAUAGGUAUCAACUGGAUAUAGAAGGAAUGACCGGGCUUAUUGAAUGACUAAUGGUCAUUUUUUUUUUACGUUGCAACAUUCUUUGAAACACUUUCCGUUGUGUGCCCUAAUGAACAUGGCCCAUGCUUCUACGUGAUAUAAGCUACAGAUGAUUAUUCAACUGAGAAAUAAAGAUACUUUUUGGCAGCUGUUUUACUACUACCUAAUGUCCGCUUGUCUUC